AAAAAAAAGAGACACGAACUGAGAAAUAGAGGUGAGGAGUGCUAUUACUUUUGUUAGCAUUUUGAGUAACCACGGCGACGUAAGUAGCAAAAAAAGCUAGCCAAAUUCAAAUCAAAACAAAUUCUUACCGACACUGUCUUGUGUCAGUUUAGACUGAAAACAGAGAUAGUAUUUUGACUCCCCCUCUGGUUCUCACUCACACAUGACAGUUUUCAUUGAGGAUUAAUUACCAUGGCAACAGAACACUGAGGAGGGCAGAGCUUCCAGUUAGAACUACAGAGACGCCACCUGACUACAGGAACACCUACUACAGACAAGAUGGCAGAAGAGCAAAGGAGGUUCUGAUCCGCUCAUGUCAGUCCUGCAGCUGCAAUCAAGACUCAUCAGACCAGCCCACCUGUGGGUCGUUGAGACCCCUGGAGUCGGAAUCAGACGUGUCUCUGUACUGAGACGAAGCCAUUUCGACGUCCG